rnacentral:misc_RNA from 1 species
CCUUUCUACGGAGUUUUCAGGACGCCGGUCUGGCGUCCGUCGUGUGGCCCACAUGCCGGGAACGGUUCCCGGAGUGGUGUGGGCGUGCUGGUGUGGAAGAGAUCGUUGGCUUCGCGGGUUCUUUUGGGGGCCUGCGGGCAGUGGUAUGGGUAUGCUUUUGGGUUCCCGGACCGCCACCCGCGACUUGGUCGCGUGCGGUUUUCCGGAUGUCCCCUUGGGGCGGUCGGCCGGCCGGUGUGCCGUGUCCGGAUCGUUUCUUGGGUGCGUGGUGGUUUGAGAACUGGAUAGUGGACGCGAGCAAUGCGAUGAUUUUGAUGUCAUCGUUUGCUUUAUCGCGAUUUCGCCAGGCUCUAUUUUUUGGAGUCUGGUUUCGAGAUCGAUCGUUUUGUGAUCAUUUUUUACAGUGUGAUGAUUUGUCGUCUGGCGUAGAAAAGCUAUCAUUAGGUUUUUUCGGGGCGUG